GUGGUGACCCCUGACCUAUCCUGUUACACGUGGUGACCCCUGACCUAUCCUGUUACACGUGGUGACCCUGACCUAUCCAGUUACACGUGGUGACCCCUGACCUAUCCUGUUACAUGUGGUGACCCCUGAUCUAUCCUGUUACACGUGGUGACCCCUGACCUAUCCUGUUACCUGUUCGGUGUGCUCUGACUCCACAGACUCAGUAUCGCUAUAUUUACCUAACACUCUCUCGUUACUAGUGUAACCCUGAACUGUGGUUCCUCUCUUUGGCUCUGUCUGAAAUAGCACUCUCUUUAUUUAACAAGGCAAGUCAGUUAAUUAAGACAUUCUUCUUUACAACCCCGGCCAAACCAGAACGACGCUGGGACAAUUGUGCGCUGCCCUACGGGAUACAGCCUGGAUUCGCACCAGGGACUGUAGUGACGCCUCUUGCACUGAGAUGUAGUGCACUAUUUUAGUCCAGAGCCCUAUGGAACCCUAUUCCCUAUAUAGUUCACUACUUUAGACACCAGAGCCCUAUGGAACCCUCUUUCCUAUGGACCCUGGUCUAUAGUAGUGCCCUCUAUAGGGUGCCAUUUUAGGUUGCACACUUUGACCCAUCUCCUGGUUAGUGGACAUACAGAUCUGUUAUGUAUUAUUCUGUCUUGGGUUAGAGAUCCUUUAUGUAUUAAUCUGUCUUGGUUAGAGAGCCAAUAUAUGCAUCUUGGGUUAGAGAUUCAUAAUGUAUUAAUCUGUCUUGGGUUAGAGAUUCUUUAUGUAUUAAUCUGUCUUGGGUUAGAGAUUCUUUAUGUAUUAAUCUGUCUUGGGUUAGAGAUUCUUUAUGUAUUAAUCUGUCUUGGGUUAGAGAUUCUUUAUGUAUUAGUCUAUGUAUUAAUCUGUCUUGGGUUAGAGAUUCUUUAUGUAUUAAUCUAUGUAUUAAUCUGUCUUGGGUUAGAGAUUAUUUGUAUUAAUCUGUCUUGGGUUAGAGAUUAUUUGUAUUAAUCUGUCUUGGGUUAGAGAUUCUUUAUGUAUUAAUCUGUCUUGGGUUAGAUUCUUUAUGUAUUAAUCUGUCUUGGGUUAGAGAUUCUUUAUGUAUUAAUCUGUCUUGGGUUAGAGAUUCUUUGUAUUAAUCUGUCUUGGGUUAGAGAUUCUUUAUGUAUUAAUCUGUCUUGUUUAGAGAUUCUUUAUGUAUUAAUCUGUCUUGGGUUAGAGAUUCUUUAUGUAUUAAUCUGUCUUGGUUAGAGACUGUCUUGGAUUAGAUUCUUUAUGUAUUCAUCGGUCUUGGGUUAGAGAUCCUUUAUGUAUUAUUCUGUCUUGGGUUAGAUUCUUUAUGUAUUAAUCUGUCUUGGGUUAGAGAUCCUUUAUGUAUUAAUCUGUCUUGGGUUAGAGAUUCUUUAUGUAUUAAUCUGUCUUGGGUUAGAGAUUCUUUAUGUAUUAGUCUAUGUAUUAAUCUGUCUUGGGUUAGAGAUUAUUUGUAUUAAUCUGUCUUGGGUUAGAGAUUCUUUGUAUUAAUCUGUCUUGGGUUAGAGAUUCUUUAUGUAUUAAUCUGUCUUGGUUAGAGAUUCUUUAUGUAUUAGUCUAUGUAUUAAUCUGUCUUGGGUUAGAGAUUCUUUAUGUAUUAAUCUGUCUUGUUUAGAGAUUCUUUAUGUAUUAAUCUGUCUUGGGUUAGAGAUUCUUUAUGUAUUAAUCUGUCUUGGUUAGAGACUGUCUUGGAUUAGAUUCUUUAUGUAUUAAUCUGUCUUGGGUUAGAGAUUCUUUAUGUAUUAAUCUGUCUUGGGUUAGAGAUUCUUUAUGUAUUAGUCUAUGUAUUAAUCUGUCUUGGUUAGAGAUUCUUUAUGUAUUAAUCUGUCAUGGUUAGAGAUUCUUUAUGUAUUAAUCUGUCUUGGGUUAGAGAUCCUUUAUGUAUUAUUCUGUCUUGGGUUAGAGAUUCUUUGUAUUAAUCUGUCUUGGGUUAGAGAUUCUUUAUGUAUUAAUCUGUCUUGGGUUAGAGAUUCUUUAUGUAUUAAUCUGUCUUGGUUAGAGAUUCUUUAUGUAUUAGUCUAUGUAUUAAUCUGUCUUGGGUUAGAGAUCCUUUAUGUAUUAAUCUGUCUUGGGUUAGAGAUUCUUUAUGUAUUAAUCUGUCUUGGGUUAGAGAUUCUUUAUGUAUUAAUCUGUCUUGGGUUAGAGAUUCUUUAUGUAUUAAUCUGUCUUGGGUUAGAGAUUCUUUGUAUUAAUCUGUCUUGGGUUAGAGAUUCUUUAUGUAUUAGUCUAUGUAUUAAUCUGUCUUGGGUUAGAGAUUCUUUAUGUAUUAAUCUGUCUUGGGUUAGAGAUCCUUUAUGUAUUAGUCUAUGUAUUAAUCUGUCUUGGGUUAGAGAUCCUUUAUGUAUUAAUCUGUCUUGGGUUAGAGAUUCUUUGUAUUAAUCUGUCUUGGAUUAGAUUCUUUAUGUAUUAAUCUGUCUUGGGUUAGAGAUUAUUUAUGUAUUAAUCUGUCUUGGGUUAGAGAUCCUUUAUGUAUUAAUCUGUCUUGGGUUAGAGAUCCUUUAUGUAUUAAUCUGUCUUGGGUUAGAGAUCCUUUAUGUAUUAAUCUGUCUUGGGUUAGAGAUCCUUUAUGUAUUAUUCUGUCUUGGAUUAGAUCCUUUAUGUAUUAAUCUGUCUUGGGUUAGAGAUCCUUUAUGUAUUAAUCUGUCUUGGGUUAGAGAUCCUUUAUGUAUUAAUCUGUCUUGGGUUUGUACAGUUAUAUUGCUGAAUGGUGAUCUUAAUAACUUUUCCCUCCUAACACUUUGUUCUGUGUGUCUGGAGCUCCUGGUCAUGAAUAUGUAUGGCUGAUUUAUUAACAGUGGGCAGCCUCCCAAAUCACACCCUAUGCCCUUUACAGUGAACUGCGUUUAACCAGACUAGUGCACUAUAUAGGGAACAGGGUGCCGUUUUAGGGACGCUGCCGGUGUGAUUUUAAAGGAUGUUUUUUGACUGGGCUGUGUUCUACACUGUUUUGAUUGGAGCGGUUUAAAGGUUUAAGUCAAUUCCUUCCUAGUCAUUUCUAGAAACCUGUUUGCGUUCCAGGCCGACUACGUUACAGAUGCAUUGCAUCCACCCAUUGUUCUGCACCACGUCAUUGAGUGACACAAUCGGGCAUCAGAUUGCUAUAUAAUAGGAUGUGGUUAGGUGUUUAACAUAACAGCUAUCUAGGCAGGCAUCUGCAGUGUAGUCAUCCUGGAACGUGUCCGUUGUGUUACUUCCUGUUACUAGUGAGUGUUAUGUUGCAUGUUCUUUUCUGAACCGGUGUCUGGCUCGUAGGACUGUAGUUUUAACUGAACCGGUGUCUGGCUCGUAGGACUGUAGUUUUAACUGAACCGGUGUCUGGCUCGUAGGACUGUAGUUUUAACUGAACCGGUGUCUGGCUCGUAGGACUGUAGUUUUAACUGAACCGGUGUCUGGCUCGUAGGACUGUAGUUUUAACUGAACCGGGGUCUGGCUCGUAGGACUGUAGUUUUAACUGAACCGGUGUCUGUAGUUUAGUGAUUCUCUGCAUGCAUGUGUUUUAUUAAUCGUCUACAAUCAGAGCAGCAACGUGCUAAGGGAACCCUAUCUCCUACAUAGUGCACCACUUUAGACCAGGGCCCUCUGGGCUUCCUCACCUGGGCUUCCCCACCUGGGCUUCCCUACCUGGGCUUCCUCACCUGGGCUUCCCCACCUGGGCUUCCUCACCUGGGCUUCCCUACCUGGGCUUCCUCACCUGGGCUUCCCUACCUGGGCUUCCUCACCUGGGCUUCCUCACCUGGGCUUCCCCACCUGGGCUUCCUCACCUGGGCUUCCUCACCUGGGCUUCCCCACCUGGGCUUCCCCAUCCGGGCUUCCCCAUCCGGGCUUCCCCAUCCGGGCUUCCUCACCUGGGCUUCCCCACCUGGGCUUCCCCAUCCGGGCUUCCUCACCUGGGCUUCCUCACCUGGGCUUCCCCACCUGGGCUUCCCCACCUGGGCCUCCCCACCUGGGCUUCCCCACCUGGGCUUCCCCACCUGGGCCUCCCCACCUGGGCUUCCCCACCGGGCUUCCCCACCUGGGCUUCCCAAUUUUCCCUGGUCUAAAUUAGUGCAGUAUGAAGGGAAUAGGGAAUGUGAUGUUAACUUUUGUGUUUUUCUACUGGCUGUACAAUUUUAUAUUCUUUCCCAUUCUGGACCUAUUUUAAUGAAGAGGUCUCUAUCAGAGAAACUGUUGUAUCCCCUAUGCCAUCCUGUUCCCUAUAUAGUACACUACUUUUGGCCCAGUCAGGCUAGGGACAAUAAUCCAACUCAAAUGUGACACUAAACAGUGGUUUGUAAUGACAUUGGGGAGUUGAGAGAGAGCUGGAGAUCAGCCACAUGUCUGUCACUCUGGCGUGUGUCUAGUGUGACACCAGAUGUGCCUGUAAAUACAUUGUGAAGAGAUUUGUUUUUAUGGGGAAUAAUAAAGUUUUUAAUUGUAACAGGA
ensembl:lncRNA